rnacentral:rRNA from 1 species
UAACGCGAAGAACCUUACCAAGGCUUGACAUGGACCGGAUCGCCGCAGAAAUGUGGUUUCUCCUUUGGGGCCGGUUCACAGGUGGUGCAUGGUUGUCGUCAGCUCGUGUCGUGAGAUGUUGGGUUAAGUCCCGCAACGAGCGCAACCCUCGUUCCAUGUUGCCAGCACGUAGUGGUGGGGACUCAUGGGAGACUGCCGGGGUCAACUCGGAGGAAGGUGGGGACGACGUCAAAUCAUCAUGCCCCUUAUGUCUUGGGCUUCACGCAUGCUACAAUGGCCGGUACAAAGGGUUGCGAUACUGUGAGGUGGAGCUAAUCCCAAAAAGCCGGUCUCAGUUCGGAUUGGGGUCUGCAACUCGACCCCAUGAAGUCGGAGUCGCUAGUAAUCGCAGAUCAGCAACGCUGCGGUGAAUACGUUCCCGGGUCUUGUACAC